UGAGGUGGCUGGGUGACCGCGGCGCACGCUGAGGAAAGUCCGGACUCCACAGAGCAGGGUGGUGGGUAACGCCCACCCGGGGUGACCCGCGGGACAGUGCCACAGAAAGCAGACCGCCCCUUCGGGGGUAAGGGUGAAAGGGUGGGGUAAGAGCCCACCGCGUCGCUGGUGACAGCGUCGGCAUGGCAAACCCCACUCGGAGCAAGACCAAGAAGGGCUUCGGCCCGCGGACGCCGUUCGAGCGCUGCUCGCGCGAGGCGUCCGGGUAGGUUGCACGAUCUUCGGAUCGGAGGCGACUGGCAACAGCCGUCACAGAUGGAUGGUCACCCGCCUUCGGGCGACAGAAUCCGGCUUACAAGCCACCUCAUCCG
rnacentral:RNase_P_RNA from 1 species